rnacentral:snRNA from 1 species
CUUGUCAUCCAGCUGUUAUGGUUAAUAAUGGAUAGUUUUCUCUGGGUGAGACUUAUCCAUUGCACACCUGAUGUGCUGACCCCUGCGAUUUCCCCAAAUGUGGGAAAGUUGCCCGCAUAAUUUGUGAUAAUGGGGGACUGUGUGUUCCUGCUUUUCCCUG